UUUAUUGGAGAGUUUGAUCCUGGCUCAGGAUGAACGCUGGCGGCGUGCCUAAUACAUGCAAGUCGAGCGAAUGGAUUAAGAGCUUGCUCUUAUGAAGUUAGCGGCGGACGGGUGAGUAACACGUGGGUAACCUGCCCGUAAGACUGGGAUAACUCCGGGAAACCGGGGCUAAUACCGGAUGACAUUUUGAACUGCAUGGUUCGAAAUUGAAAGGCGGCUUCGGCUGUCACUUAUGGAUGGACCCGCGUCGCAUUAGCUAGUUGGUGAG
rnacentral:rRNA from 1 species